GUGGGGAAUAUUGGACAAUGGGCGAAAGCCUGAUCCAGCCAUGCCGCGUGUGUGAAGACGGUCUUCGGAUUGUAAAGCACUUUAAGUUGGGAGGAAGGGCAGUAAGUUAAUACCUUGCUGUUUUGACGUUACCGACAGAAUAAGCACCGGCUAACUUCGUGCCAGCAGCCGCGGUAAUACGAAGGGUGCAAGCGUUAAUCGGAAUUACUGGGCGUAAAGCGCGCGUAGGUGGUUUUGUAAGUUGGAGGUGAAAUCCCCGGGCUCAACCUGGGAACUGCCUCCAAAACUGCAUGACUAGAGUACGGUAGAGGGUAGUGGAAUUUCCUGUGUAGCGGUGAAAUGCGUAGAUAUAGGAAGGAACACCAGUGGCGAAGGCGACUACCUGGACUGAUACUGACACUGAGGUGCGAAAGCGUGGGGAGCAAACAGGAUUAGAUACCCUAGUAGUCC
rnacentral:rRNA from 1 species